rnacentral:rRNA from 1 species
UACGUAGGGUGCAAGCGUUGUCCGGAAUUAUCGGGCGUAAAGAGCUUGUAGGCGGUUUGUCGCGUCUGCUGUGAAAUUUCGGGGCUCAACCCCGAACUUGCAGUGGGUACGGGCAGACUAGAGUGUGGUAGGGGAGACUGGAAUUCCUGGUGUAGCGGUGAAAUGCGCAGAUAUCAGGAGGAACACCGAUGGCGAAGGCAGGUCUCUGGGCCACUACUGACGCUGAGAAGCGAAAGCAUGGGGAGCGAACAGG